rnacentral:misc_RNA from 1 species
AUAAGAACUAAUUCUUCAGAUUCAAAUGUCCAUAUGCAUUACAACUUGGUUAGAAUUGGAUCACAUAAUCCAAUGCUGUAGAGUUGUUGGUAUUUUAUUCAAUAAAUAACAAAAUUGAAUUUUGAGCAUUACAAUCAUAGGUAUUUAUACUCAUAAAUCAUAAACCUUUUAUGACAAUGGAUUCCAAAACUAAUAUAAAUCCUUUAAUGAUUUAGACUAGCAAACAAAAUUUCCUAAACUCAAGAUUUAGACUUCCAAAGGAAACUCAAAUUAAGAAUUAAAAAAUAAAGAACUAAAGACAUCUGGUCAGAUCUUCUAAUAGAGU